UACAGAGGUCCCAAGCGUUGUUCGGAUUCACUGGGCGUAAAGGGUGCGUAGGCGGUCGGGUAAGUCUGAUGUGAAAUCUCACAGCUUAACUGUGAAACUGCAUUGGAUACUAUCCGGCUCGAGGAAUGGAGGGAGACUGGAAUACUUGGUGUAGCAGUGAAAUGCGUAGAUAUCAAGUGGAACACCAGUGGCGAAGGCGAGUCUCUGGACAUUUCCUGACGCUGAGGCACGAAAGCCAGGGAGCAAACGGG
rnacentral:rRNA from 1 species